rnacentral:rRNA from 1 species
AAGGACGUGCGAACCCGCGAGGGGGAGCGAAUCCCAAAAAGCCGCUCUCAGUUCGGAUUGCAGGCUGCAACUCGCCUGCAUGAAGCCGGAAUCGCUAGUAAUCGCGGAUCAGCAUGCCGCGGUGAAUACGUUCCCGGGCCUU